GUUUACGGCCAUACCAACCUGGGUACGCCUGAUCUCGUCUGAUCUCGGAAGCUAAGCAGGGUCGGGCCUGGUUAGUACUUUGAUGGGAGACCGCCUGGGAAUACCAGGUGCUGUACGCU
ensembl:rRNA 5S_rRNA 5S ribosomal RNA